rnacentral:lncRNA from 13 species
UCUAACCUGACUUGUGUCAGGAUCUGACAUGAAAGACCAUUUCGGUCCUACAACCUGUCUGUGGCAUCCUGCAGCUCAUCACUGGUCAUUUAUCUUCUUGAUCUGCUAAUUAUACAGGGCCAGCUAGCUCCCAAGUCCAUGCUGGGGCAGCCGACUCUGGUACAGUAUCCCUGCAGCCCAAGAUGCCCAUGAGAGUUGGAGUUGAUAUUAGCAUUUACAAUUGGGAAUGUUCUAAAUAAAAUUUUUACCUUUUCCUUUAUGUAUUCAAGAAGAAAGUCCACUUGGUCUGCAGAUACCCUUGAUCCUGAAGAUUCUGCUAACCCCUGUAGCCCAUUGUCUCCACUACAGGCACGUAUCUUAGAUUCCUGGCUGAACGUUCCUGACAUGCACAGGCAGCGCUGGGCUCAGCAGGAACGGCAGCGGAACAGCCACACGCCAGCUGGUGAGGGCACUGCAGCAUUGGUGACCAGCUUGGAAUAAAAGCACCGUAGUUAAAGUAUUUAUUCAGGAACUGAGGGAAGAAGGUGCAUUAGGAAUGUGCCUAGAAAGAAAUUUGAGUUUGGGUGGUGGGCACAGACAAAUUACUCCUGACUCUGCUGAAGCCAUCUCCAGUGCCACAAAAAAAUGCAAAACUCACAUGCUCUAAAAACAGAAAGAGAGAAACACCAGGGAAGUGAGUGGAAGGGUGCUGGGUGAGUCAGAGGUCGAUGGAGUAGGGAAGCAGGAGCAUAGCCUGCUGGUGUGGAGUGGGUGUGAGGGUUGAGAGACACAAGUAUUCUGCAAGCAUCCUUCAUUACCAGCUGGAAGCACAGGUAAGAAACACGAGACAUUUCAUAUUCCGUGCUUAUUUCAAUUGAUACCUCUUUGAAUCCAGGACUGGCAGGGUUAAAAGCUACAAAUCACAUUCUGGCUCACUCUAACUGGGCUAAAUUGUAAGGACUCUAACUCUUCACUUAAAAAGACAAAACCGAUUACCAACAACCUUCUUCUGAGGACAAAAAGACCAGCUUGCUAAUGAGGGUCUAAGAUAUGGCCAUUCCAUUGUAAAAGAUACA